rnacentral:rRNA from 1 species
UACGUAGGGUGCGAGCGUUGUCCGGAAUUAUUGGGCGUAAAGAGCUCGUAGGCGGUCUGUCACGUCGGCUGUGAAAUCCCGAGGCUCAACCUCGGGUCUGCAGUCGAUACGGGCAAACUAGAGUAUUGCAGGGGAGACUGGAAUUCCUGGUGUAGCGGUGAAAUGCGCAGAUAUCAGGAGGAACACCGGUGGCGAAGGCGGGUCUCUGGGCAAUAACUGACGCUGAGGAGCGAAAGCGUGGGGAGCAAACAGG